UACGUAGGGUGCAAGCGUUAUCCGGAAUUAUUGGGCGUAAAGAGCUCGUAGGCGGUUUGUCGCGUCUGCUGUGAAAACCCGAGGCUCAACCUCGGGCCUGCAGUGGGUACGGGCAGACUAGAGUGCGGUAGGGGAGAUUGGAAUUCCUGGUGUAGCGGUGGAAUGCGCAGAUAUCAGGAGGAACACCGAUGGCGAAGGCAGAUCUCUGGGCCGUAACUGACGCUGCGGAGCGAAAGCGUGGGGAGCGAACAGG
rnacentral:rRNA from 1 species